GAUUGAAGACGAUGGCUGGAAUGUUUCAGAGUUCUAUGCCUGUGUUCGACGGGAAGGAUUACAAAGAUUGGUGCGUCAAAAUGGACGCAAUUUUAGGGUUCCAAGACAUUGAUGAUAUUGAUGGGUUGUCGCAACCCAUACAAAUUUAAUUGCAUAUGAGAAAUGCAGUACAGCUAGGGAAUGACUCCUAGGUCGUCUCUCAAGGACCAAAUGUGGUUCAAGAAUUAGGUCUAACACGCAGUGGGGGGGUUUGUGAAAGUUUUGUGACUGCAGAUGAAUUAAAUUAAAACGCGGAUGCAACAGAAAUGCAAACACAUAAGCUAAAGAAUGAAAAGACAAUUCAUAAUGAAAACAAUAAGUUAAAAAUGCUUGAAAAGUGAAAAUAAAAUUAAAUGAAUAAAGCUAAAACAAAUC
rnacentral:lncRNA from 1 species